rnacentral:misc_RNA from 1 species
AAAGACAAGUAAGAAACAAAAUUAAUUUGAUAUAAUAAAGCUUGAAUGUGGCACACCAUAAUGUAAGAUGCACAUAAAUUUUGAAUCCUCCUUGGUACUAAUUGGGUUUUAAAUAAGAUUAAGACUGUUUUUUAACAUAAAUAGUCAAACAAAUUAGUUGUAACUAUGGAAGUUCAUUGCACUUCUCAAUUAAGCAGCAUAUAUAUGUCAA